CAGGUAGUUGGUGGGGUAACGGCCUACCAAGCCUUCGAUCCGUAGCUGGUCUGAGAGGAUGAUCAGCCACACUGGGACUGAGAUACGGCCCAGACUCCUACGGGAGGCAGCAGUGGGGAAUAUUGGACAAUGGGGGCAACCCUGAUCCAGCAAUGCCGCGUGGAUGAUGAAGGCCUUCGGGUUGUAAAGUCCUUUCGGCGGGGAAGAUGAUGACGGUACCCGCAGAAGAAGCCCCGGCUAACUUCGUGCCAGCAGCCGCGGUAAUACGAAGGGGGCUAGCGUUGUUCGGAAUUACUGGGCGUAAAGGGCGCGUAGGCUGUGCUGUAAGUCAGGCGUGAAAGCCCCGGGCUCAACCUGGGAAUUGCGCUUGAUACUGCGGCGCUGGAAGGUGGGAGAGGAUGGCGGAAUUCCCAGUGUAGAGGUGAAAUUCGUAGAUAUUGGGAAGAACACCGGUGGCGAAGGCGGCCAUCUGGCCCACAUUUGACGCUGAGGCGCGAAAGCGUGGGGAGCAAACAGGAUUAGAUACCCUGGUAGUCCACGCUGUAAACGAUGAGUGCUAGACGUCGGGGAGCUUGCUCUUCGGUGUCGCCGCUAACGCAUUAAGCACUCCGCCUGGGGAGUACGG
rnacentral:rRNA from 1 species